AUGGCGUCCUCUCCUUUUAACCAUAAGCAGGAGAAAGAAACGGAGAAGACAGUGCAUUUACUUCUUAAAACCGUCAGUCCGUGUGUGGUGGACAUCACUCCUGCUUACAUUCUGUCGGCAAGAGCAGCUUUCUGGCUACUCUGGGUGCAAGAUCUGGUCUCAGAAGAAGAUGAAAAGACAGGAAUCUAUGGGAUGUAAUUUUGAGAGGAGUCUCCUGGAAAGAACCCCCCCUCGCUCUCCUCCCUCUAGAUACGUCAGCCAGAGGCUUUUCUUCCCAAGGACAGCCACGAAUCCCUCCUAGCCUGCCGCUUCCAGUCCUCUUCCAGAUUUCCAUGGGCAAGGCAAGGUACUAAGGAUGCAUUCUAACCAGUUGUUAUUUAGUCAUUCCGUCUUGUCCAACUCUCUUGCAACCCUGUGGACAAUAGCCUGCCAGGUUUCUCUGUCCAUGGGAUUUCCCAGGCAAGAAGAAUGAGUUACCAUUUCCUUUUCCAGGGAAUCUUCCUGACCCAGGGACUGAACCCAUGUCUCCUGCAUUGCCAGGUGAAUUCUUUACCACUGAGCCACCAGGGAAGCCUUGCUCUUAACCAGUACUGAGCUGUUAGCUAUUCUCAUUUGAUUCAUUAAAACCAAAAUUGAGCAGAGUUAAUUUGAAGAUCUAAUUGGUUUUAUUCAAUGAUUUGUGAGUAAGACAGCAUUCAUCUAGCAACUAAAAGGGUGCUUGUACAAAAGCUGUUGCACAAAAUGGGAGGUUUUAUAGGAAGAAAAGAAAAGACCCUGAUGCUGGGAAAGAUUGAGGGCAGGAGGAGAAGGGGACUACAGAGGAUAAGGUGGUUGGAUGGCAUCACCGACUCAAUGGACAUGAGUUUGAGUAAACUCCGGGAGUUGAUGAUGGGCAGGAGGCCUGGCAUGCUACAGUCCUUGAGGUCGUAAAGAGUCAACCACGACUGAGUGACUGAACUGAAUAGGAAGAAGGAUGAACUGGGGAGCUAUUAGCAAAAGAAAAGGGAAUUAUUUUUAGGCCAGGGCAUCUUCUUUUUGGGGAAAGGUUAUGGUUCAGGUUUUAUUAUGCAGAUCGCCUCUUCUUCCUCUGAGGGAGAUGGAGAAGGCCCAUGUGAUUACUCCCAAACUCAUUGAUUAAGUUUGCAUUUCUGGGGAGGGUUGAAACUACAGUUAGUUUAGGUAUUAAAUCUAGGUUUGAUAUCAUAAGUUUUUAACAUAACUGACACUGUUUUGGGCCUGUGGUUUUUCUCUUUUACAAUUUUCAUAGCAGUCCUUUGAACAAAACCUCCCUGAGAAUUUUCUGACUCUCCCCCACAAAGUGACAACUGUUGGAUCCAAGGACUGGCUGCCCCCAAAUAUGCCUUGAUGGCAUACUGAUUAUUUUCAAUUAAAGUUUCUUAGGAAAUAACCAAUACAAGAGAGACACUUUGACCCUCCUCUCUAUCUCCCUGAAAAUAGGAAAUCUCCCAUGUGAAAGGUACCUUCCAUGUACCAGGAGGUAGGAGGAGACCUUUAUCACCAGAGACAGAGAACUAGGAAAUAAGAAACCUGUAUUUAAACAAACAAAACAAAACAAACCUUCUUUGAUUUACCAUUCCAAACCCAAACUUUUGAUUAAAUUCUUUACUAAUUAAGAGUCCAAAACCCGAGUUUGUUUGUCCAGUCAAUUCCUCACGAUUUUGUUUCCUUGUAUGGGGGAACAAAACUUACUACCCCCAAAUGUGUCUCUUUAGCAUGCAGAUUCUUUUGAGCUGAAAUCAGUCAAGACACCAAAGACUGAGGAUGAAACUGUGACCUUCCCUCUAAUUGCCUUACUUUGCAACCCCAUGGACUAUAGCCUGCCAGGCUCCUCUGUCCAUGGGGAUUCUCCAAGCAAGUAUAUUGGAAUGGAUUGUCGUGCCCUCCUCCAGGGGAUCUUCCCAACCCAGAGAUCGAACCCAGCUCUCCCACAUUGCAGGCAGAUUCUUUACCAUCUAAACCACUAAAGAAGCCCCAAAGAAUUUAGACAGAGGGCCUAUUCUUAGAAUAGAGCUGUCACCAGUGGUGCCUGUAAAGCAUAUGGGCUAAGUGUGGCGAACUCUGCAGAGCCUAGAGAUCAAGAGUCCAUUCUGUGCCCCAUUGUCUCUUCAGGGGCCAGCAAAUGUUUAUCAAACAUUUGCUUUUCCGUCUCCAUGUGAAUUGCCUUCCUCUGCCUUGAAGUCCCAAACCAGUAUCCCCAACAUCCUCUUUGUCUUUAGCUGAACAUGGUAUUUCAGGUAAGGGUUUUGGCCAUUGUGGUGAGUCUCUACCAUGUAUAUUUGCUUUGCAAACUCUAUAAGCUAGCAGUUAUUGUAUUGCUAUUCUUUGGCUCCAAAGCAAAUCUUUUGGGGGUCAUGUGUGCUUGCUCAGUAGCUCAGUCAUGUCUGACUAUUUUAUGACCCUGUGGACUGUAGCCUGCCAGGCUCCUCUGUCCAUGGGAUUCUGCAGGCAAGAAUACUGGAGUGGGUUGCCAUUUCCCCUUCCAGGGGAUAUUCCCCAGUUCAGUCAGUCAGUUCAGUCAUUCAGUCAUGUCCGACUCUUUGCGACCCCAUGAACUGCAGCACACCAGGCCUCCCUGUCCAUCACCAACU
ensembl:lncRNA